UACGGAGGGUGCGAGCGUUGUCCGGAAUCACUGGGCGUAAAGGGCGCGUAGGUGGCGCGAGGAGUCUGUGGUGAAAGCCCGAGGCUCAACUUCGGGUCGGCCGCGGAUACUCUCGUGCUGGAGGGUGGUAGAGGCCAAUGGAAUUCCGGGUGUAGCGGUGGAAUGCGUAGAGAUCCGGAAGAACACCGGUGGCGAAGGCGGUUGGCUGGGCCACACCUGACACUGAGGCGCGACAGCGUGGGGAGCGAACAGG
rnacentral:rRNA from 1 species